CUGAAGUGAUGCAUAACCGAUCAG
rnacentral:miRNA from 1 species